GAUGAACGCUAGCGGCAGGCUUAAUACAUGCAAGUCGAGGGGUAGCAAGAUUGUAGCAAUACAAUUGUUGACGACCGGCAAACGGGUGCGGAACACGUACACAACCUUCCUACAAGUGGGGAAUAGCCCAGAGAAAUUUGGAUUAAUACCCCGUAACAUAGCGAUGUGGCAUCACAUUGCUAUUAUAGCUUCGGCGCUUGUUGAUGGGCGUGCGGCUGAUUAGAUAGUUGGCGGGGUAACGGCCCACCAAGUCUACGAUCAGUAGCUGAUGGGAGGACAUGAUCAGCCACACGGGCACUGAGACACGGGCACGACUCCUACGGGGGGCAGCAGUAAGGAAGAUUGGACAAUGGACGCAAGUCUGAUCCAGCCAUGCUGCGUGAAGGAUUAAGGUCCUCUGGAUUGUAAACUUCUUUUAUAAGGGACGAAAAAAGGUCUUUCUAGAUCGUCUGACGGUACCUUAUGAAUAAGCACCGGCUAACUCCGUGCCAGCCGCCGCGGUAAAAC
rnacentral:rRNA from 1 species